CCGGCCCUAAACGGUGCGCAUUUGCUGUGAGCGGAAUCGACCCCGCUCGUGGCGGAGCUAACGCGUUAAAUGCGCCGCCUGGGGAGUACGGCCGCAAGGUUAAAACUCAAAGAAAUUGACGGGGGCCUGCACAAGCGGUGGAGUAUGUGGCUUAAUUCGAUGCAACGCGAAGAACCUUACCUGGCCUUGACAUGCAAGUGGUAGAAGCCUGAAAGGGUGACGAUCCCGCAAGGGAAGCUUGCACAGGUGC
rnacentral:rRNA from 1 species